UACGAAGGGGGCUAGCGUUGCUCGGAAUCACUGGGCGUAAAGGGUGCGUAGGCGGGUCUUAAGUCAGGGGUGAAAUCCUGGAGCUCAACUCCAGAACUGCCUUUGAUACUGAAGAUCUUGAGUUCGGGAGAGGUGAGUGGAACUGCGAGUGUAGAGGUGAAAUUCGUAGAUAUUCGCAAGAACACCAGUGGCGAAGGCGGCUCACUGGCCCAUUACUGACGCUGAGGCACGAAAGCGUGGGGAGCAAACAGGG
rnacentral:rRNA from 1 species